AUAUAUUUUUCAUCUGAUUAAAUUUUGAUAAACAGGAUGACUCUAUAUCUAUAUUAGUAGAAAACAGACAUAUAUCUCAAUAAAUUAGUCACAAUACACCAAAGUUAAUAUAAGAAAUUAGUCAAAAUAUACGAAAACUAUCAUAAAAAUUAGUUAAAAUACAUCAAAAAUAGCAUAAUAAAUUAAUCAAAAUACACGAAAGCUAUCAUGAAUGCACAAAAUGUAAAUCCUUAAUAAAAUAAUUUUUCAAACACAUAAAUAUCUAACGAAUAAUUUUAAACCACGAAGUUCAAAAAUCUUUUAAAUUUUUUUCUCAAACAUCAUAUAAAGUCGAAUAGAAAAAUAAUUAAUCAAAAUACACGAAAACUAUCGAAAUACACAAAAUCUAAACCCUCCUUUUACCAAAAGGUAAUAAAGUAAAGAAAGAACCUUCUUACAACCCAAAUAAUCCCAAAUCCAAAAAAAAAACAAAAUCACUUUUCAUAGUAUACCAUAUGAUAGACAUUUGACAAUACUUUAGUCACUCAAAUAUCUCAAACUCUGUCUCAAUACUCUGCUCCCUCUCUUACAUUGUAAGCCAAACACACCCUAAAAUACAUCCACAAAAAAACAAAAAACAAAAUUUUUCCUAUUUAUCUCUUCUUUAUAACUCCCAUUUUACACAUUACAUUUUCUUGAAUUUGAUAAAAAAAAAAUCAUAAUAUUAUUUUCUAGUGAUGGGGUUUGUAGUUGAGAUGUGUUGCAACUCAAGAUUGGUAUUUUUGUAUAGAAAAAAAAAGUUGAGGAACAUUUUCUUGAAAUUGAGAAGUGAAUUCUUGAAUCAAAAGAAGAACAAGAAGAGUAACAACAAUUUUGAAAAUGAUGUAAGGAGGACUAAUGAUAAGUCAAGGAAGUGUUUUGUAUAUUAUUUUUGUUUAGUUUUAGUUUAAUCAACUUAAUGGUAGAUUAAUGUUUAUUACUCUUUAAAAGUAUUUUAAGAGUUUUGAUGUUAUUUUCCUUGAUGACUAGUUUAAUUAUUAUCUAGGUUGAUUCAAAAUGUUGUAAGGAGGGUUAAUGACAAGUUAAUGAAUUUUUUUUUGUCUAUUUUCUAUUUA